rnacentral:rRNA from 1 species
UACGUAGGGGGCAAGCGUUGUCCGGAUUUAUUGGGCGUAAAGAGCGUGUAGGCGGCCAAAUAGGUCGGUUGUGAAAACUCGAGGCUCAACCUCGAGCUGUCGGUGGAAACUGUCUGGCUAGAGUCCGGAAGAGGAGAGUGGAAUUCCUGGUGUAGCGGUGAAAUGCGCAGAUAUCAGGAAGAACACCUAUGGCGAAGGCAGCUCUCUGGGACGGUACUGACGCUGAGACGCGAAAGCGUGGGGAGCGAACAGG